UGGCAAUAUUAACUGUUUCAUAAAUAUUUUAAUUAAAAUUUUAUUUUUUAGUCAAAAAGCUAAAAUAAUUUUAAAAGACGAGAAGACCCUAUAAAUCUUUAUAAUUUAAUUAUUAAAAAUUUAUAGAAUUAUUUUGUUAUAAUAAUGAGUAUUAUUUUAUUGGGGUGAUAUUAAAAUUUAAUUAACUUUUAAUUUAUAAAUUCAUUAAUUUAUGAAAAUUUGAUCCAUUAUUAAUGAUUAAAAAAAUAAGUUACUUUAGGGAUAACAGCGUAAUUUUUUUGGAGAGUUCAUAUCAAUAAAAAAGAUUGCGACCUCGAUGUUGGAUUAA
rnacentral:rRNA from 1 species